ACACCUAGAGGCGCUCGCUCUACGGCCGGAACCUUGUUGCUAAGGACWGGACGGUUUGCGGCAACCUAGGACGCUGCGGAGUUUGAAUUGAGAGGAGAGGGAAAAGUUUUCCUCAGGUGCUACUGUGCUACUAGAUCUGGCCAUGAGAUGUAAAAGUGGAAAUAGUGUGUGCAACAUUGAGGAAGUUCUUCAAAAGAAGAUGAUUCACCAUUCUUUCCUUCUUCCUGCUGGUUGAAAUUAGACUUGCUGGCUCAAGAUCCUUACAGAAGGCAGAGUAACAAGACUGAAAGAGCUGAGUCUUUGACACUGGAAUACCAAAAUCACCCUUGAAUUUCUACCUCYACCCACUUUCACAUGGAGAGAAAUAAACUUGUAUUUAAGUUACAGUUAUCCUAGGUUUUCUGACAUAUAUAGCCAAAAUUAUCUUGUUCACUAUUACUACAAGUUUAAUGGAUUAAAAAAUGUAUUGUUAUUCUAGAAGUCAGAGUACAAAAUGGGUCUCAUGAGACUAAAAUCAAGGUUUUGGCAAGAUGAGUCUACUUCAGAAAACUCUAGGGAGAGUCUGUUACUUUGCGUUUUCCAGCUCCUAGAGGCUGCUCACAUUCCUUGGCUCUUUAGCAUCUUCUUCAAAGCCAGCAACAUCUGGCAGUCAUUCUUAUAUUGCCAGCUCACUGGUUCUUUUUAUACUGCCUCCCUCUUCCACAUAAAAAGGACUUUGCUAUUCAGUUGAACCCACCCAGAUAAUCAGGACAUCUUCCUACUUUAAGAUCAACUGAUUAGCAAGCUUAAUUCCAUCUGCAAUUUAAAUUCCUCUUUGUGAUAUAAUCUAACAUUCACAGGGUUGGGUGAUUAGGACAUUAACACCUUUGAGGGCCACUGUUCUGCCUACUGUAGUGUACAAAUUUUUAAGUUUUGUGAUUUGAGAAAUACGUUUUUACUUUAUGAUUUACCUUUAAUACAUUUGCAACUUAUACUAUGCUAAUUGGCCAUUACUCUUUAUAGAACAUUUAGCAUUGUGCCCCAUAAUUUUCUAUUUUAUAUAUGUGAAGGACAGGUAGUCUAAAAAUGAAUUAUAAUCUUUUCCAAAUUCACAGGGAAAGUGUAAAUAGGUAGGAUUUUUUCAGUAUUGAAUUUUUUUCAUAUUUUUAAUAAUUUACUUGCAGUUAUUUACUUCUCAUACAAGAUUCACAUGUAAGUUAAGAUAAAGUUCAACAUAGAAUUAUUUUCAAGUGUAAAUUGUACAUAUUUUCUGGUGUUCCUCACUUUCCAAGCACAUUUGAGUACAGCAGUUUAUGAUCCUCUAAUCAUCAAAAAGUUUAAAUUGGUUAAUUUCAUGGAAAUCCGAAUAGUAUGUUGGUGUUACUCCUUCAUUCAAUGCCUAUUUUCAAUCCUAGAGCUUUAAUGGGGUUAGGGUGAGAGAAUUAAAAGAAGUCACAGUGUAUGCAAAUCUUAAGGAUGAAACUAUAGUGCUUUUGAGGUGCAUAUCAAAUAGAAUUAAGCCCCACAUAGCUAAUAAUUCCCCACAUACUUUAGUUUGUCCAUGCCACUGAUGUAGCAUUAUCCCUAUAUGUGGUUUUUGUUUUGUUUACAUCAGGCCCCUCUCCUAAUUAUCUUUGUGUUUCUGAUACUGAAAGCAGUGCCUGUCCAAAAUAUUUUUAAUAUUUAUGGAAAAGAGGAAAAGUUUCUUGUCAUUGGUGAAUCAUUGCAGCACAGAAAUUUUGUGAAGAGCAAAUAGAAUAGGGUAUGCAGACUCUUCCAUAUGUUAUCUGGCACUUGGUAAACAGUACAUGAAAGAACAAAAAAUAAGUAAAUUCUUAGGCAAAGAUUAAAGUCAGAUGUAAAGGACAUAAUCCACUAGAAUUCUUACAUAGUGUCUUUCUCUUCAAGGCAAAAAGGUAAUUUUUAUCCCUGAAAUUGUCAUUUAAAGCACAGGUAUAACUAAAGAGCAAAAGAAAGAGAUGAUGUUAACAUGUUUUGCUUAGCAUUUAGUUGGAAUAUUGUCUAAAAAUGUUAGCUUACCUUAGCUAUAUUAUUUAAGGAACUGUCUCUACAAUAAGUACACUUCCUACCCUAGGAAAAAAUAACACUAUUUGCAAUGCAAUUAGCUAACCUGUGGCACUUGCUACUCUUAUACAGAUCAUUUUUAAAAUGCAAGUUAAAAUUAUGAAAGAAAUAUAAAAAUUGCCUUAGUUUUGUUUCUUGAUUUGCACACACCUAUUUGAA